GGGCUGGUAGUUCAGAGGAAGAACGCUUCAUUCGCAGUGAAGAGGCCGCGAGUUCGAGUCUCGCCCAGUCCACCA
rnacentral:tRNA from 2 species